rnacentral:lncRNA from 1 species
GCCGCACUCAAAGAGCUGGAGCACUUUACAAACCUACCUUUGUUAGCUCACUCCUAAUCCCUUGAGCCUCCAGGUAGAAAGUGGGAGGCAGCCCUUUGUGACUGGGUAUGGUAACAGGGUUUACCAAGUUCACAUCAAAGGAUCCACAUCAAUGCACAGGACCUUCAGUCAGCUGUCUCAGCCACCCUGUUUGCUGCCUUGGGGUAGAGAGUGCUCACCUCUCUGAGGUCUGGCUCCCAGUCCCAGAACUGCCUCACGUCCUCCAAAACUUAAUUUCCUUGGGCUUCUAUGAUGAUCUUCGUUGGUAAACCAAGAAUCAUAGACACGUCUAAGCACAGAACUCCCGGUCUGCCUUCCAACUAUAUCCAGCAUCUGACCACGUGUCACAGUCUCCAGGCAACCAAGGUGCAGCCUUUGGUGCCUGAGCCAGGAUCAGAACACAGGUCUCCUGAGUUCCAGGAACGUCAUGAGACCCACAGGGCAGUCUUCUGGUUUUAAGACCUAGCUCUGCUAUCGCCGAGGCCCUCCAAGGAGAGGCUGGGCAGCCCUGACGGGGACGUGGGGCUGAUUCUCCCAGGAAGAACACUGCCCAUCCCCUGUGGUCCCUGAAGAUCAGAAGAACCCAGCCCUGGGGAAACCCUUGGUCUGUGUCUCCAGCAGCAUUAGUGAUUUCCUGAGAGUGAGGUGAGAAAAGUCAUUUCACUUUCUGUGUGAAUUAUUCAGCCUCAAACUUCCUCGUGGCUGAGGGUUGAGCCAGAGAGGAAUGCUCAUCAUCAAUCAAGUUAGGAAAGCAAGAUGGGUGGCAAGGAAGAAGGGCUGGCACAGAGACUGAUUCAGGCAGCCAAACGCUUCUCCUCCUUUAAAGAAGAGAGAGAAGUGAAAUCACGUGUCUGUAUGUAGUUGUUCACAGUGACGCUGUUCACUUGGACCAAAAGGUCCAAAAAUGAAUGAGUGUAAAAAAAUGUGGGGUGUGUGUGCAUAUAUAUAUUUAUAUGUACAUACAUAUAGAGGCAUAUAUUAUAUUAUACAUGAAUAUUAUUCAGCCUUAAAAAGGAAGGACGUUUUGACAUAUGCUAAAUGGAUGAACCUCAAGGUGUACGUACACUAAAUGGAAUAAACCAGUCGCAAAAGCCCAUACACAAAAUAUUGUGUGAUUCCUCUUGUGUGAGGUUCCUGGGGUGGUCACACUCACGGACACAGAGAGGACAAUGUGGCUGGCAGGAGCAGAGGGGGGAC